rnacentral:rRNA from 1 species
AACAGGAUUAGAUACCCUGGUAGUCCACGCCGUAAACGAUGUCUACUUGAAGGUUGUGGCCUUGAGCCGUGGCUUUCGGAGCUAACGCGUUAAGUAGACCGCCUGGGGAGUACGGUCGCAAGAUUAAAACUCAAAUGAAUUGACGGGGGCCCGCACAAGCGGUGGAGCAUGUGGUUUAAUUCGAUGCAACGCGAAGAACCUUACCUACUCUUGACAUCCAGAGAAUUCGCUAGAGAUAGCUUAGUGCCUUCGGGAACUCUGAGACAGGUGCUGCAUGGCUGUCGUCAGCUCGUGUUGUGAAAUGUUGGGUUAAGUCCCGCAACGAGCGCAACCCUUAUCCUUGUUUGCCAGCACGUAAUGGUGGGAACUCCAGGGAGACUGCCGGUGAUAAACCGGAGGAAGGUGGGGACGACGUCAAGUCAUCAUGGCCCUUACGAGUAGGGCUACACACGUGCUACAAUGGCGUAUACAGAGGGCUGCCAACCAGCGAUGGUGAGCGAAUCCCACAAAGUACGUCGU